UUAAGUGUUACAUUUUUAGGAUUGCAUGUUAAUUCCAGCUUUUGAUAGUACGUAUGUUUGGGGCCAAUGAUGAAAUUAAAAUUGCAUGAGAAAGUCUAGUAUGGAUUGUUGAGUCAGUGAUAUGAUUUUCUUGACAUGAUUUAAAUCUUUAUCUGUUUGACACUGAUAUUAUAAGGAUAACACGUUUUGAAAAAUGACCAUGUUGGCUAUGAUAGUUUAAAUUGAUAGAUAAUAGAGUUCUAAAGGAUGAAUGCUAGUGAAAUGAAGGAAUAAUUUGAAUAGCUAGUGAAGGCUGAAUUUAGACAUAAACUCAAGUUUGGGGGAAAAUAUUUGGAGUAUAUAAGCUUUAAAAUAUAUAUAUAUAUAUAUAUAUAUAUAUAUAUAAACACCGUGUCAUGCUUGUCUAGUUUUGUGGCCUUUGUUACUUGAGUAAGUAAGCCCGAGGGGAUUGUCUCUACACCUAGCGCCCUAAGGUCUUAAUGGCUUGGGAGUCGUUGGUCGAAAGCUCGUUAAGGUAACACUGAAAAGCCUAAGGGAAUAAGACAAUGCAUAGUCAUGAGAAAAAAAAAAUAUAAUAAAGUGGGAAAAGUGCAAAAAGCCCCCGUAUAAAAAAAGCAUAAGUAUUCCUUUUUGACCCCUGGACUUUGGUGAUUGUUUAAUUUUAGUUGAAUCAAGUGUAUUUGAUGAGUUCUCAAGUUUAUAUUGUAUGAUGUCUUCAAAGAAAGCUAUUAUCUUUCCUAUUUUUGCUCGUUAUUGGUUAGCAUGGUUGUUGAACACACACUCACGAUAUCAGUAAUAACAGAUUUAGAUUUGUUGAUUGUUGGGGUAUUAUUGAUCUGUUUUAACAUGAUGUAUUAGCAUAUUUUUGCUAUUUUUCUGAGGCCUAUGAAUAUAUGUGUGCUAUUGGAUUGCUGGAAUUAAGAAUGUGUAGAUAGUUUGCAUUUGCAUGGUGGUUAGUUGUUCGUGUUGUUUGGUGUAUGUUGCUUGAGGACAAGCAACGAUUUAAGUUUGGG
rnacentral:lncRNA from 1 species